GGGGAAUUUUGGACAAUGGGGGUAACCCUGAUCCAGCCAUGCCGCGUGCGGGAAGAAGGCCUUCGGGUUGUAAACCGCUUUUAGCCGGGAAGAAAAGGCCAGCCUUAAUAGGGUUGGUUCUUGACGGUACCGGCGGAAUAAGCACCGGCUAACUACGUGCCAGCAGCCGCGGUAAUACGUAGGGUGCGAGGGUUAAUCGGAAUUACUGGGCGUAAAGCGUGCGCAGGCGGUUCGUUAAGUUCGAUGUGAAAGCCCCGGGCUCAACCUGGGAACUGCAUUGGAAACUGGCGAGCUUGAAUGCGGCAGAGGGGGGUGGAAUUCCGCGUGUAGCAGUGAAAUGCGUAGAGAUGCGGAGGAACACCGAUGGCGAAGGCAGCCCCCUGGGCCGACAUUGACGCUCAGGCACGAAAGCGUGGGGAGCAAAC
rnacentral:rRNA from 1 species